UACAGAGGGGGCAAGCGUUAUUCGGAAUUAUUGGGCGUAAAGGGCGCGUAGGCGGCCUGGCAAGUGGAUGGUGAAAUCCCUCGGCUUAACCGAGGAACUGCCAUCCAGACUGCUUGGCUUGAGACCGGGAGAGGUGAGUGGAAUUCCCAGUGUAGCGGUGAAAUGCGUAGAUAUUGGGAGGAACACCAGUGGCGAAGGCGGCUCACUGGACCGGUACUGACGCUGAGGCGCGAAAGCGUGGGGAGCAGACGGG
rnacentral:rRNA from 1 species